rnacentral:rRNA from 1 species
AGAACGAACGCUGGCGGCGUGGAUAAGACAUGCAAGUCGAACGGAGCAUUCUGGUAGCAAUAUUAGGAUGCUUAGUGGCAAACGGGUGCGUAACACGUAGGUUACAUUCCGGAAAGUGUGGGAUAGCCCAGGGAAACUUGGAUUAAUACCGCAUGUGAUCGCAAGAUCAAAGGUGGCAACACCGCUUUCCGAUUGGCCUGCGCCCUAUCAGCUAGUUGGUGAGGUAAAAGCUCACCAAGGCAACGACGGGUAGCUGGUCUGAGAGGACGACCAGCCACACUGGAACUGAGACACGGUCCAGACACCUACGGGUGGCAGCAGUCGAGAAUCUUUCACAAU